rnacentral:rRNA from 1 species
CGCGAAACCAGGUGAGCUACUGUUUAACGUAUAAUAGUACAGAACAUGUGAUAUAAUAAUAAUAGAUAAAACAGUAGGAGUGAAAGGCUUCCCAAAUCUGGUGAUUUCUCGUUAACUUUUAAACGUAUUUAGUACAUUGCCGAUUUAUUAGUGAUAAGGCUGAUAAAAAAUACUUAAUUUGCUGUUUCUUAUCUACCAAGCUUAAUCGCUAGUGGCUAGAGUUUUAAAACAUUAAUGUUUAAAAACUAGUAGACUACAAAAGUUAGUAAUUAACUAUGUGCAUUAUUUAUACUGUAUAUAUUAGUAAUAAAGUUAUCAUUGAUGAACUCGGCAAUAUUUCUUUCAGCUGUUUACCAAAAACAUCGCCAAUAGGAUAUAUUGUUGGUUAAUUCUGCUCAAUGUACAUAAAUAGCCGCAGUACCCUGACUGUGCAAAGGUAGCAUAAUCAUUUGGCUUAUAAUUGAAGUCUCGCAUGAAUGAACUUAUGGGGGAAAGCUCUAUUAAUGAUAUGUUAUGAACUUACUUAGGGGGUGUAAAUUCCCCCUUCUUAAAUAAUAGACGAGAAGACCCUAGAAAUUUGCAAAAUAUGAACCGGUUAUUUUUUGUUGGGGCAACAUUGUAGCAUUUAACCUACAGUAAUGACACGCCAUGUUAUUUGUAAGAUUAAAUUACUCUAGGGAUAACAGCGUAAUUAAUAAAAGUUUGCGACCUCGAUGUUGGACUAGGACGCGGUCGCUUAGAA